rnacentral:lncRNA from 1 species
UGGCCGGAAUGUUCCUUGCUGCUGAUGCAUUGGCCUCAUCUGGAGGUCCUCUUUGACACCUACCCUACUCUCUCCCUCCACUCACACUCUUAGAACUGUGCUCAGGGGCAGCGCUACAACUUCAAACACUGGUCUUCACAGGGCUUGAGUGAUUCUUUCAAGAACAGAACGCUGUGUGGAGGUUGUUGUUACUGAAACCUUUACCAUAUUUCAUUGCAUCUAAGACACAUUUUUUUGUGUGUGUGAUUUAACAUCUCUAAGGUUGGGUUAUGUUUCUUCAUCAUUGUCAGGUUAGAGUUUAAUUAGCAGCACUUUUUUUUUCCUUAGUGUCACACACAGUAAUGGUGAUGUAUCUCACAAUUGAGAUGGUCUUAGAUCUGAUGGAAUAUGGAAUCGUGUACCUGUUACAAGCCAGGCUUUUGUCUGGGUUCUACAGACAGUGGAACUCAAGACAGUACCAUCCUCUAGUGGUGUUCACAGCCCACCACAGUGGAGUCAGGACUUUGAAGUCCUCCAUUGGAUCUGCUUGGAAGAUGAGAGAAAUGAGAGAGUAUGGAGAGAGGUUUUGUAAGUCGUGUCUGGAAGAGGUCAUUAUUCAGAAUCCAGCCACAUGGCUACAUGGAACUGUAAUAAAAAGGGGAAGAUUUACGGGUCUGCUGUGGAUCUAG